rnacentral:rRNA from 1 species
GACGAACGCUGGCGGCGUGCUUAACACAUGCAAGUCGAACGGAAAGGCCCUGCUUUUGUGGGGUGCUCGAGUGGCGAACGGGUGAGUAACACGUGAGUAACCUGCCCUUGACUUUGGGAUAACUUCAGGAAACUGGGGCUAAUACCGGAUAGGAGCUCCUGCUGCAUGGUGGGGGUUGGAAAGUUUCGGCGGUUGGGGAUGGACUCGCGGCUUAUCAGCUUGUUGGUGGGGUAGUGGCUUACCAAGGCUUUGACGGGUAGCCGGCCUGAGAGGGUGACCGGCCACAUUGGGACUGAGAUACGGCCCAGACUCCUACGGGAGGCAGCAGUGGGGAAUAUUGCACAAUGGGCGGAAGCCUGAUGCAGACACGCCGCGUGCGGGAUGACGGCCUUCGGGUUGUAAACCGCUUUCGCCUGUGACGAAGCGUGAGUGACGGUAAUGGGUAAAGAAGCCCCGGCUAACUACGUG